AACGAACGCUGGCGGCGCGCCUAAUACAUGCAAGUCGAGCGAGAAGACGUAGCAAUACGUUUGUAAAGCGGCGAACGGGUGAGGAAUACAUGGGUAACCUACCCUCGAGUGGGGAAUAACUAGCCGAAAGGUUAGCUAAUACCGCGUACGCUUCUUGGACUUCGGUUCAGGGAGGAAAGCGAUGCCGAGGGUAUCGCGCUCUUGGAUGGGCUCAUGUCCUAUCAGCUUGUUGGUGAGGUAACGGCUCACCAAGGCUUCGACGGGUAGCUGGUCUGAGAGGACGAUCAGCCACACUGGCACUGCGACACGGGCCAGACUCCUACGGGAGGCAGCAGUAAGGAAUAUUGCGCAAUGGGCGAAAGCCUGACGCAGCGACGCCGCGUGAGGGA
rnacentral:rRNA from 1 species